rnacentral:miRNA from 1 species
CCGUAUCAACUACCUGUCCAGGCUUGUGUUGAGAUCUGGACGGAGACUUGAUAUGGAC